GUCUACUCUGUCAUUUCAUAUGCAAUAGAAGUCCAGCUGCCUGUAUGGUCUUUCCCCCAGCAUUUUUAAAGUCUCCUGAGUUUUUUGCAGUUUCAAAUAUGUUCUUGUGUCUCACAAGGUUAGUGCACACCUGUUCUUAUACUCAGUGUUAUCAAUAUCACUGUGCUCUACAUGAAAAGAAAGGCAACCUCUCCUCAGUAAAUCCUGGUAGCUUUUUCAAACUGUUUGAACAGAAGCACUCAGUUUAAUCUAGUGUUAAGUGUAAAUGCUUCCACAGCUACUGGUUCCCUCCACUGAAGAGCAGCUGAUCAAACUGCAUCUACUAUUUACUACACGGUUUAGUCACUUAUGAUUAUGUUUAUUUCUGGUAUUUAAACUGACACUGGAUAGCUGUAUGUCACUUUUUUUUUUUUUUCCUAGAACAGGGAAGCUUGUGGAUUUUUUUUAAGGGCCUUACAUGGCUAAUCAUUCAUUUUUUCUUUAUGUUUCCAGUGGUUGUAGUUUCUUGAGUUCCCUGACUUGGGUAUCAACAAUCAGCAUCACUGCCUGGGGUGGUUAUUACCCUGCAGUUGUCCAUCGUUUAAUAAUUUCAUUGUGAAACAAAGCCUCGAGGCAGGUAUUUUGAAUCUGAGUAUUUUUUUAUUACACAGGUACUUUGAGUAAUCACCCCAGACUGAGCAUUGAUUAGGAAGGUCUGGGUAGACACUUUCUCUACAAAUUGUUUGCAGACAUGCUCAGGAUGUGAGGUAAUUUAAAUAAAUGAGCUUAAACAAGAAGCUUAAUACAAAUUUAAGCAACCAACCUAGUAACUUCAGCUUGAAACGUCAUAAUUAUAUCUUCAUUUGACAGGUGCAGUGGUCAGAUUUAUUUUGAUCAAUACAGCUUAAUCAACACAGCACACACUAUUCAUCAAGUCACAGAUGCCUCGAUGUUCUGAGGCACUGCCAUUAAUUUGUAAUUUUGAUAAAGGAUCUGUAUGACUUUCUGUGUAACAGCAGGUCCAGUGCUUCUGUUGUUUUCAUCCAUUUUGUUUAUGAGACAAAAUCUC
ensembl:lncRNA